rnacentral:rRNA from 1 species
GACGAACGCUGGCGGCGUGCUUAACACAUGCAAGUCGAACGAUGAAGCCGAAGCUUGCUCGGGUGAAUUAGUGGCGAACGGGUGAGUAACACGUGAGUAACCUGCCCUUGACUCUGGGAUAACUGCUAGAAAUGGUAGCUAAUACCGGAUACGACCCUCGGCGGCAUCGCCAGGGGGUGGAAAGAAUUUCGGUCAAGGAUGGACUCGCGGCCUAUCAGCUAGUUGGUGAGGUAACGGCUCACCAAGGCGACGACGGGUAGCCGGCCUGAGAGGGUGACCGGCCACACUGGGACUGAGACACGGCCCAGACUCCUACGGGAGGCAGCAGUGGGGAAUAUUGCACAAUGGGCGCAAGCCUGAUGCAGCAACGCCGCGUGAGGGAUGACGGCCUUCGGGUUGUAAACCUCUUUUAGUAGGGAAGAAGCGAAAGUGACGGUACCUGCAGAAAAAGCACCGGCUAACUACGUGCCAGCAGCCGCGGUAA